CGAGCGAACUGAUUAGAAGCUUGCUUCUAUGACGUUAGCGGCGGACGGGUGAGUAACACGUGGGCAACCUGCCUGUAAGACUGGGAUAACUUCGGGAAACCGAAGCUAAUACCGGAUAGGAUCUUCUCCUUCAUGGGAGAUGAUUGAAAGAUGGUUUCGGCUAUCACUUACAGAUGGGCCCGCGGUGCAUUAGCUAGUUGGUGAGGUAACGGCUCACCAAGGCAACGAUGCAUAGCCGACCUGAGAGGGUGAUCGGCCACACUGGGACUGAGACACGGCCCAGACUCCUACGGGAGGCAGCAGUAGGGAAUCUUCCGCAAUGGACGAAAGUCUGACGGAGCAACGCCGCGUGAGUGAUGAAGGCUUUCGGGUCGUAAAACUCUGUUGUUAGGGAAGAACAAGUACGAGAGUAACUGCUCGUACCUUGACGGUACCUAACCAGAAAGCCACGGCUAACUACGUGCCAGCAGCCGCGGUAAUACGUAGGUGGCAAGCGUUAUCCGGAAUUAUUGGGCGUAAAGCGCGCGCAGGCGGUUUCUUAAGUCUGAUGUGAAAGCCCACGGCUCAACCGUGGAGGGUCAUUGGAAACUGGGGAACUUGAGUGCAGAAGAGAAAAGCGGAAUUCCACGUGUAGCGGUGAAAUGCGUAGAGAUGUGGAGGAACACCAGUGGCGAAGGCGGCUUUUUGGUCUGUAACUGACGCUGAGGCGCGAAAGCGUGGGGAGCAAACAGGAUUAGAUACCCUGGUAGUCCACGCCGUAAACGAUGAGUGCUAAGUGUUAGAGGGUUUCCGCCCUUUAGUGCUGCAGCUAACGCAUUAAGCACUCCGCCUGGGGAGUACGGUCGCAAGACUGAAACUCAAAGGAAUUGACGGGGGCCCGCACAAGCGGUGGAGCAUGUGGCUUAAUUCGAAGCAACGCGAAGAACCUUACCAGGUCUUGACAUCCUCUGACAACUCUAGAGAUAGAGCGUUCCCCUUCGGGGGACAGAGUGACAGGUGGUGCAUGGUUGUCGUCAGCUCGUGUCGUGAGAUGUUGGGUUAAGUCCCGCAACGAGCGCAACCCUUGAUCUUAGUUGCCAGCAUUUAGUUGGGCACUCUAAGGUGACUGCCGGUGACAAACCGGAGGAAGGUGGGGAUGACGUCAAAUCAUCAUGCCCCUUAUGACCUGGGCUACACACGUGCUACAAUGGAUGGUACAAAGGGCUGCAAGACCGCGAGGUCAAGCCAAUCCCAUAAAACCAUUCUCAGUUCGGAUUGUAGGCUGCAACUCGCCUACAUGAAGCUGGAAUCGCUAGUAAUCGCGGA
rnacentral:rRNA from 2 species